CAGGUAGGGUACUUGCCAAGUCUAUAAAACAGUGCUGCUUUCAACGAGGCUUUAGCCGAAAAUUGAGUUUGUUUCAGAAGACCUUUGUUUUCCUGCAAUAUGUGAUGCUCCAAGAUGGAGUGAACUUCCGAAGUGUAAGAAUCAUGGAUAACUUUUGAACCACGCACAAAGGAUGUAAGGAAAAAUCUUCUUAUAAUAGGGCACUUGUUAAAAUAAAUUGAAUUGAGCCGCCUUCGACCGGAAACGUCGUCGACGUCGUCUUCCUUCACCCAGGCGGAAGCCCGAUUCUGACUAGCUUGGUGUAGGGACACUGAUUGUACGCGGCAUAUCGAAGGAAGUAAGCACAAAAUGGACACAUAAAUACAUUUGCGAAAAGCGAUGAGGCACUUCUUAUCACAGGGCGAUGACGUUCUUGAGGCGGGACCAUUGGUAGAAUUUGAGCAUAGGCAGCUUCAGGAAAUGAAAUUUUGAACAACAUUAGAUUACACGAAACUACAUGUACUCCUAUAUCUGGGGCCGAUUAGGGUCGGAUCGAAUCUCCGCGCAAUCUGAGAAAAAGCAUUAUAGAAGUUCUGGAUCGUAAAAAUUAAAGGGGCAGUAGACCUGUAGUUGUUGCUAAAAAAAUAUAUUUAAUUGUUAUACGGAAAUAUUUCAUCCUAAA